rnacentral:rRNA from 1 species
GAAUUCGCCCUUAGAGUUUGAUCCUGGCUCAGGACGAACGCUGGCGGCGUGCUUAACACAUGCAAGUCGAACGGGGAUAUCCGCUUCGGCGGAUAUUCUAGUGGCGGACGGGUGAGUAACGCGUGAACAAGCUGUCCUAUACAGGGGGAUAACACUGAGAAAUCAGUGCUAAUACCGCAUAAGACCACAACCUCGCAUGGGGAAGGGGUCAAAGGAGGAAUCCGGUAGAGGAGGCGUUCGCGUCCCAUUAGAUAGUUGGCGGGGUAACGGCCCACCAAGUCAGCGAUGGGUAGCCGAGCUGAGAGGCUGAUCGGCCACACUGGGACUGAGACACGGCCCAGACUCCUACGGGAGGCAGCAGUGGGGAAUAUUGGGCAAUGGGGGAAACCCUUACCCAGCAACGCCGCGUGAGAGAAGAAGGUUUUCGGAUUGUAAAUCUCUGUCCUUGAGGGCGAAGGAAGUGACGGUACUCGAGGAGGAAGCCCCGGCUAACUACGUGCCAGCAGCCGCGGUAAUACGUAGGGGGCGAGCGUUGUCCGGAAUUAUUGGGCGUAAAGGGCGUGUAGACGGUUUUAUAAGUUACAGGUGAAAGCCCAUUUUUCAAGGAUGGAACUGCCUGUAAGACUGUAGGACUUGAGUGCAGGAGAGGGAAGCGGAAUUCCAAGUGUAGCGGUGAAAUGCGUAGAUAUCGGGAGGAACACCAGUGGCGAAGGCGGCCUACUGGGCACCAACUGACGCUGAGGCUCGAAAGUGUGGGUAGCAAACAGCGAUUAGAUACUUUGGUAGUGCACACUGUAAUAGAUGAUUAGUAGGUGUGGGAGGAUCGACCUCUUCAGUGCGGCAGUUUACACAAUAAGUAAUCCGGGUGGGGAGUCCGACGGCAAGGUUGAAACUCAGAGGAAUUGACGGGGGGUCCGCACAAGCAGUGGAGUAUGUGGUUUAAUUUUAUGUCACGCGUAGUACCUUGACUAGUCUGGUCAUCGUGUGACGCCCAUAGAAAUAUGUGUUUCCUUUGGGAGGCAGAGACAGGUGGUGCAUGGUGGUUGUCAGAUCGUGUAGGGAGAUGAGGGGUCAAGUCGCGCACCGAGUGUCACCGUUAUGGUCAGGUUUCAUGCAAGAGGACUGCGGCCCGGGUUUCGUGGACGAAAAGGAGGCAGGGGGGGAAGAGGUCUAAUCAUCAGGCCGUUCAUUCAUUGGGCUCCACAGGUUUUACAAUGGAGUUAUACGGAGAGAGGCAAGUGCGGGAGGGGGAGCGGAUAUCAGUAUCACCGUGGCAGUUGGGAUGGCCGGGUGCAAGUCGCGUGCUUGAAGUGGCAAUAGAGAGUAAUCGCAGAUCAGCUCGAGGCGG